rnacentral:rRNA from 1 species
GGCGGAUGCCUAACACAUGCAAGUCGAACGAACCCUUCGGGGUUAGUGGCGCACGGGUGCGUAACGCGUGGGAACCUGCCUUUAGGUUCGGAAUAACAGUUAGAAAUGACUGCUAAUACCGGAUAAUGUCUUCGGACCAAAGAUUUAUCGCCUUUAGAUGGGCCCGCGUUGGAUUAGAUAGUUGGUGGGGUAAUGGCCUACCAAGUCGACGAUCCAUAGCUGGUCUGAGAGGAUGAUCAGCCACACUGGGACUGAGACACGGCCCAGACU